rnacentral:lncRNA from 1 species
AAAAAUAGGAGCUGGCAUCUGAGCCAGCCUUAGAAGGAUGAACUGGAGAACUGGAGGCGGAACACUGCAGACUCUGAAACAGGCCUGGGAAGGUUCCAGGCUUUGUGCUGGGCCCAGGGGCCACAAAGUAAGCAAGAGAGCCAUCGUCCCUGCCCUCAUGGAGCUCCAGCCCAAGGGACAGCAGCUUAUCCUACGCCAAGGGGCUCCUCUCAAAAUUCCCACAGCAGUAGUGAUCUAAGGACCUGGGCAGGGGCACUGGACUUCAAGUCUCAGCCUCUGGUGAGUGUCUUUACUCCCGAGCCCCAGUUCCAUAUGUGGGUACUUGCGGAGGGGCUGGACUUCACAUUCCCUAAGGCCUUCCAAGCUCAAAGACUGAGAAGAUGCGGUGUGGCCAGGACCCUGCUAGAGUGAGCUCCCUGGAUGCAGGAAGGGGGCCCUGGGCCCAGCAGAGAGGCAGGGUGAGGAGGCCAGAGGUGUG